rnacentral:lncRNA from 1 species
CCCAAGGAAUCCUUGCCAUUGUGCCCAAUGCUACAGCAGCCUCUUCGUGAGUAAUCCAUGCAGGCAUUCUGAUGUGGACUUCAGUGUCUAGUACAUCACGCAGAAAGGGCUUGGUAGAGUUGGGGCCUUCCUUGUUACAAAAAGCUUGGACAGGAACCUGGUGGAAGUGAGGCAGGGAGGUUUGCCUGAAAGAACCUGAAACAGUAGCUGAGAGAGUCACCUGCCCCACUGAGCUCGAUGGGGUGCUACCCUCAGACCUGCUGCUCUGGAGGCCUCAUCAGCACUGCACAACAGAGGACACUGGGUAUGGCAGGAAGAGAGCAGUGCCCACAGACCUGAGCAGGAGACUCCAUCUGCUGGGGUUCCAGCAGAGGAUGUUUGGCCGGAUUAGCCUGGCAAAGCCUCCUCCCUUAAUUUAGGAGAGACAGCGGCACCUCAGAGAGAAGACACCUCACAGAUGAAAGACAGAACGCAUCCCAGGGGAAGGACUGUCUCUCCUCAACCCUGCCGCUACUUCCCAGUGUCUAUACACAUGCCAGGAGCCCUGAAUCCCCCAAGGCAGGUAUUGC